UUUACAGAGAGUUUGAUCCUGGCUCAGGAUGAACGCUGGCGGCGUGCUUAACACAUGCAAGUCGAACGGACAGAGGACCUUCGGGUCCGAAGUUAGUGGCGGACGGGUGAGUAACGCGUGGGUAACCUGCC
rnacentral:rRNA from 1 species